rnacentral:rRNA from 1 species
GCAUAUCAAUAAGCGGAGGAAAAGAAACCAACCGGGAUUGCCUCAGUAACGGCGAGUGAAGCGGCAAGAGCUCAAAUUUGAAAUCUGGCCCCUCCGGGGUCCGAGUUGUAAUUUGCAGAGGAUGCUUCGGGUGCGGUCCCCGUCUAAGUGCCCUGGAACGGGCCGUCAUAGAGGGUGAGAAUCCCGUCUGGGAUGGGCGGCCGCGCCCGUGUGAAGCUCCUUCGACGAGUCGAGUUGUUUGGGAAUGCAGCUCUAAGUGGGUGGUAAAUUUCAUCUAAAGCUAAAUACUGGCCGGAGACCGAUAGCGCACAAGUAGAGUGAUCGAAAGAUGAAAAGCACUUUGAAAAGAGAGUUAAACAGCACGUGAAAUUGUUGAAAGGGAAGCGUUGUCCACCAGACUCGCCCGGGGGGGUUCAGCCGGCACAUGUGCCGGUGUACUCCUCUCCGGGCGGGCCAGCAUCGGUUUGGGCGGCUGGUGAAAGGCCCCGGGAAUGUAACACCCUCCGGGGUGCCUUAUAGCCCGGGGUGCCAUGCGGCCAGCCUGGACCGAGGCCCGCGCUUCGGCGAGGAUGCUGGCGUAAUGGUGGUCAACGGCCCGUCUUGAAACACGGACCAAGGAGUCUAACAUCUAUGCGAGUGUUCGGGUGUCAAACCCGUCCGCGCAGUGAAAGCGAACGGAGGUGGGAGCCCCUCGGGGCGCACCAUCGACCGAUCCUGAUGUCUUCGGAUGGAUUUGAGUAAGAGCAUAGCUGUUGGGACCCGAAAGAUGGUGAACUAUGCCUGAAUAGGGCGAAGCCAGAGGAAACUCUGGUGGAGGCUCGCAGCGGUUCUGACGUGCAAAUCGAUCGUCAAAUUUGGGUAUAGGGGCGAAAGACUAAUCGAACCAUCUGGUAGCUGGUUCCUGCCGA